rnacentral:rRNA from 1 species
CCUACGUGAGGCUGCAGUGGGGAAUAUUGGACAAUGGGCGAAAGCCUGAUCCAGCCAUGCCGCGUGUGUGAAGAAGGCCUUCGGGUUGUAAAGCACUUUCAGUGGGGAAGAAAGCCUUGGGGCUAAUACCCUCGAGGAAGGACAUCACCCACAGAAGAAGCACUGGCUAACUCCGUGCCAGCAGCCGCGGUAAUACGGAGGGUGCGAGCGUUAAUCGGAAUUACUGGGCGUAAAGCGCGCGUAGGCGGUCUGAUAAGCCGGUUGUGAAAGCCCCGGGCUCAACCUGGGAACGGCAUCCGGAACUGUCAGGCUAGAGUGCAGGAGAGGAAGGUAGAAUUCCCGGUGUAGCGGUGAAAUGCGUAGAGAUCGGGAGGAAUACCAGUGGCGAAGGCGGCCUUCUGGACUGACACUGACGCUGAGGUGCGAAAGCGUGGGUAGCAAACAGGAUUAGAUACCCGAGUAGUC